AGUGAGGACUUUAAUUUUGAAAAGCAGUCACAGACAACCUCUUAGUUCAGGAAGCAGGAAGUACUAGUAGUACUGCAAUAGUUCAGCAAAAUGUGGUAGCUAUGUGACAUCUUUGAGCAUCACCUUUCUCUGCAUCUGUUAGACGCAAUGUCUUUUCACAGUUGAAUCAUAAACUUCAGAAACGACUUGUGGUGUCCAGC